UAGGGAGCAAGCGUUGUCCGGAAUUACUGGGUGUAAAGGGAGCGUAGGCGGGAUAGUAAGUUGAUUGUUAAAACUAUCGGCUCAACUGAUAGAUGCGAUCAAAACUGCAAUUCUUGAGUGAAGUAGAGGCAGGCGGAAUUCCUAGUGUAGCGGUGAAAUGCGUAGAUAUUAGGAGGAACACCAGUGGCGAAGGCGGCCUGCUGGGCUUUAACUGACGCUGAGGCUCGAAAGUGUGGGUAGCAAA
rnacentral:rRNA from 1 species